rnacentral:snoRNA from 1 species
CUCCAAAGUGUUGAGUUCAGUUCAGGGCAGCUUCCCUGUUCUGUUAAUUUAACUUUGGGGCAUUGAAGUUGGCUGAGGGGACUGACUGAAUAGAGUGUGUUAAUCUAUUCAUAGACCUCCAGUCUACACAA